UACAGAGGUGGCAAGCGUUGUUCGGAAUUACUGGGCGUAAAGCGAGUGUAGGUGGUUGUCCAAGUUGGAUGUGAAAGCCUUGAGCUCAACUCAAGAAAUGCAUUCAGGACUGGGCGGCUAGAGGACCGGAGAGGAUAGUGGAAUUCCCAGUGUAGUGGUGAAAUACGUAGAGAUUGGGAAGAACACCGGUGGCGAAGGCGGCCCACUGGAUCGGUACUGACGCUGAGGUGCGAAAGCGUGGGGGAGCAAACAGG
rnacentral:rRNA from 1 species